GAGGAUAGCAGGGCGUCUGCCCCAGGGACCCCCCGCACGGAGGUGGCUGUGUCGGCAACAGUGGUGUCACAGUAGAUGCAGUCUGACCUGAGCCAUGAAGAAGUGCAGAGUCCCCAAGAGGCCAGAGAGCUCACGUCUGGUUAGAGUCGGGGUGUUUGAUGGGAAGAUGAAAGGAGGAGCUGGCAUCUGAGGAAAUCAACAUUCAAGGGGAGACCCAAUGAAGAAGAUAGUGCCAGAACUUAAUGGAGGCAGCCCAAGAGGAACGUGUACCUGGGGAAGUCAAGAGCUAUUUCUUGGACAUUUGUGCCUCUAUUCCAAACUCUUCUCUCAGAGUAGAUGACAACUCAGGAAGGAGCCAGAGAUCUUCCUCAGUUGACUUGUUCAGAAAUAUGAUUUGGGAUUCAGUCUGGCCCGAAGCCAUGCUUCCAGCCUCAUCUCCACUGUGCACUUUCCAUGGCGUUCUGUCUUGGUCCACUUGGCUUGUGUAGCUGCCUGGCCUGGGUUGUCCUCCCCACCCUUGUCUGCUUGGUGGCACUUGGCCCUGUUCUAAUUGCUUCUGCUCGGGCAGCUUCUCUCCUCCCUCCUCUGUGCUCUGAGCACACUGGACAGAUUCCUGUUAGAGCUGUCACUGUCUUCCUGCUGUCUGCCCACUGACCUUGGAGCUCCAGGAGGACAGGAGCCUUAUCUUACCCCAUGACAUGGCCUAUGCCCAGCCUGGUGCCAACGUGGUCUGGAGGUAUCUGUAGGCUGAAUGAAAUUCUUCCCUC
ensembl:lncRNA LINC01968 long intergenic non-protein coding RNA 1968